GAGGCAGCAGUGAGGAAUAUUGGUCAAUGGACGAGAGUCUGAACCAGCCAAGUAGCGUGAAGGAUGACUGCCUAUGGGUUGUAAACUUCUUUUAUACGGGGAUAAGUGAGGCACGUGUGCCUUUUUGUAUGUACCGUAUGAAUAAGGAUCGGCUAACUCCGUGCCAGCAGCCGCGGUAAUACGGAGGAUCCGAGCGUUAUCCGGAUUUAUUGGGUUUAAAGGGAGCGUAGGCGGACGCUUAAGUCAGUUGUGAAAGUUUGCGGCUCAACCGUAAAAUUGCAGUUGAUACUGGGUGUCUUGAGUACAGUAGAGGCAGGCGGAAUUCGUGGUGUGGCGGUGAAAUGC
rnacentral:rRNA from 1 species